rnacentral:rRNA from 1 species
UAAGUCAGUAGUGAAAUGACGAGGCUCAACCGCAUAAAUAUUAUCUAAACUGCUAAGCUAGAAUAUAGAAGAGGUAGCUGGAAUUCCUAGUGUAGGAGUGAAAUCCGUAGAUAUUAGGAGGAACACCGAUGGCGUAGGCAGGCUACUGGUCUAUUAUUGACGCUAAGGCACGAAAGCGUGGGUAGCAAACGGGAUUAGAUACCCCGGUAGUCCACGCCGUAAACUAUGGAUGCUA